GGUCAAUUGUUUAAAUAAAAAUAAGUUGUAUUGCUUGCAAAUACUAACAUGUAAUAUUUUUGUUACAUUAGGAAAUAGACAGACUCGUAGCAGACCAGGGAGGCGAAGUUCAAGUAAUAUCACGAUUAUCUGGAGCUGUGAAAAAAGGACCAACCACACUUAUUGGGAACAAAAAGGUACUAUUUUUACAUCUGGUAAAUGUAUCUUUCUUAAUCAUUAUAUUUUUAAUUAAUCUAUGGGAUGUUAAAAGUAGCGCGUAUCUUUCGAAUAUUAUAUACCUCUAUUUUAUUUUAAAUUGAUUAGUGAGAGCAGCCACAGCUACCAAAUCCAACAGUACCUACGUCUACGCCAAAAUGGUCUAAGAAGGACAUCUCUUACUAUUUAAUU